UCCAAGUCCAACACAAGAUUCACUCUCGUGACUCCAACUAAUUACGAGAUUAUUGCAUUGUUUAUACAUAAUUAUGCAUAGCUAGCCCUCUAACUCAUAUUAGUACAUCUGCUUAAUAUAUAUGAUUUCUCAUAUGACACCCUACCAAUCUGCAUCUUUCCCGGCCCUCUUCUAAUCGUUCUUCGGAAUAGUACGUCUGGCUGCAUUUGAUCGAUUGCAGGUUCAUCAAGCAUGGUGAUGAGGAGUCUGAUCGAGUUGUAAGAAACUCUGAAAUCAAAACUGAGGAUUUUAAAUAAAAGAAAUGCAUAUGCGAUAAUUGGGAAAACUGAGAGCAUGAGGAUGGACGCGAGGCACAGGAAAGCUCAGGCAUCGAUUGCACGGACUCUCAAGAAUUCCGAUUACUGGAGGAACAAGAGCUACGCAUAGCCGCUGAUCCGUGACGUGAUCGUUUGAAACCAGAAUUUCUCUUUUUAUUUAUGUGUGAUUGCUGAAAAUAAUGUGUUUUUAGCAAAAUGUUCUUUGAUUUGAAGGAGCUAGAUAUAUAAUAUGUUACUGUUUGGACCCAAAAUUACAUUAUCGGUUCAAAUAAUCGAGGCCGUCGGAUGAUUAGAGAUCUUUCUUAACAUUAC